rnacentral:misc_RNA from 1 species
AAGUCGUAACAAGGUUUCCGUAGGUGAACCUGCGGAAGGAUCAUUACAUUCAGUAGCUUGCUACUGUUAGGGGGGUCUAUCAGCCUGUAUAGUAUCACUACUGAUGAGCAGCACGACCCUCUGUCUGUACCCUUGUCUUUUGCGCACUCAUGUUUCCUCGGCGGGGUCUAUACCCGCCGGCUGGACAACUCUAUAACCUUUUUAAUUUUCAAUCAGCGUCUGAAAAACCUAAUAAUUACAACUUUCAACAACGGAUCUCUUGGUUCUG